UACGGAGGGGACUAGCGUUGUUCGGAAUUACUGGGCGUAAAGCGCACGUAGGCGGAUUUGUAAGUCAGGGGUGAAAUCCCCGGGCUUAACCUGGGAACUGCAUUUGUGACUGCAUGGCUGGAGUGCGGCAGAGGGGGAUGGAAUUCCGCGUGUAGCAGUGAAAUGCGUAGAUAUGCGGAGGAACACCGAUGGCGAAGGCAAUCCCCUGGGCCUGCACUGACGCUCAUGCACGAAAGCGUGGGGAGCAAACAGG
rnacentral:rRNA from 1 species